UUGAAUGUGUGGAUAUGUGAGUUUAUGAACUGUUGAAUGUGUGGAUAUGUGAGGUCAUGAACAGUUGAAUGUGUGGAUAUGUGAGGUCAUGAACAGUUGAAUGUGUGGAUAUGUGAGGUCAUGAACAGUUGAAUGUGUGGAUAUGUGAGGUUAUGAACAGUUGAAUGUACUGUUUAUGAUGUGGAAUGUUCCUCAAAUGAUUUGUCCAAUCAGUUCGACUGGUCUCUGGCCUUGAGAGGGAGUCUGGUGGUGGCUUUGGAGGAGUCCAGUCUUAUUCAAGUAAAUGUUGAAAUGCACCAACCAAACAUAACAGUUCAGGGGAGAAGACACCAUCUUAAAUCCUGUGCAGGAGUGCAUCGAUCAGUCAGGUGAAAAACUUCAGCAAAACUUCUACAAGAUAGAUGCUAUUCUCACCUUUAAAGAGACAAAUCAGAAAAUGCACUGGACCAUGGAAAAAUCCAUUUGUUCAGAUAUGUUAAAAUCACACCUCGAUUUUAACACAUGAUGACGCACAAGAAGCUAAUGUGACAACACUUUCACCCGAGGGGAUAACAGACAAGCUAGAAGUUCCUGAUUAUUACAACAAAGAGUUUACCCCUCCUGUGCAACCAGAGAUGUCUACAGCAUCACAGACAGCAGAAGAAGAAUCCAGUAUAACCUCAGUACAAAUCCAACAACUCCAAACAUCUGAUGCACUUAGUACAUCAUCAACGGAGAUAGUAGCCACCUAUUUACAGCUACACUUUACGGUCUAAAGCACAACAAAGAUCUCUGGAGAAGUUGAUCUGUGCAUCAUUGACUGUGAGGGGCUGCAGUGCAGAACGGAUGGAUAUGCAGGUACCAACCGCACAGUCAGUCAAAUCAGUCAGUGAUUUUCCAAACAACACUAUUACUGAUGGUUGUCCAUUAAUCACAACGGUUGUAAUCACAGUUUGAAAUACAGCUACACAUUUAAGCACCAUUUUCACUCAGACUGGGAUUUACAACACAACAGUCAAGUGGACCCAUGCAUCUUCUCCGCUGACAAGCAAUCACAUGUGAGGAAUGAUUACAUCAAAAACUGUGUUUGUCGUGCCAUUUAAAUACAAGCUACUGUCUCAGAGCUCCCUCAGCUGUGUGUGUCACGUCACAGGAAUAAAUGUGGUGUCUAGAAUUAAAAAAAA